UACGGAAGGGGCAAGCGUUGUUCGGAAUCAUUGGGCGUAAAGGGCGCGUAGGUGGUUCUGUAUGUCUACCGUGAAAGCGUACGGCUCAACCGUAUUUUGUCGGUAGAAACUGCGGGACUUGAGGCUGGGAGGGGCUGGUGGAAUUCCCUGUGUAGCGGUGAGAUGCGUAGAGAUGGGGGAGAACACUCGUGGCGAAGGCGGCCAGCUAGACCAGUUCUGACACUGAGGCGCGAUAGCGUGGGGAGCAAACAGG
rnacentral:rRNA from 1 species